rnacentral:rRNA from 1 species
CCUACGUGGGGCAGCAGUGAGGAAUAUUGGUCAAUGGGCGCGAGCCUGAACCAGCCAAGUAGCGUGAAGGAUGACUGCCCUACGGGUUGUAAACUUCUUUUAUAAAGGAAUAAAGUGAGGCACGUGUGCCUUUUUGUAUGUACUUUAUGAAUAAGGAUCGGCUAACUCCGUGCCAGCAGCCGCGGUAAUACGGAGGAUCCGAGCGUUAUCCGGAUUUAUUGGGUUUAAAGGGAGCGUAGAUGGGUUGUUAAGUCAGUUGUGAAAGUUUGCGGCUCAACCGUAAAAUUGCAGUUGAUACUGGCAGUCUUGAGUACAGUUGAGGUAGGCGGAAUUCGUGGUGUAGCGGUGAAAUGCUUAGAUAUCACGAAGAACUCCGAUUGCGAAGGCAGCUUACUAAACUGCCACUGACAUUGAUGCUCGAAAGUGUGGGUAUCAAACAGGAUUAGAUACCCUAGUAGUC